AUUAAAAUAGAAUUAAAAAAAUAAAUAUAUAAAUAGAAUAUAAUAAAAUAGUAUAAAGCUGUGUCUAUAAUGUGGUCCAUACACCUGCCGGCUGUAGUGGAAACGGUGAAAUAUCUUUAAGUUAUGCAAAGAAUUAAUAACAAAAGAAAAAAAAAAUUAAAAAAAAAAAAAAACAACAACAUGAUAAUGACAUACAAUAAGAAAUAAAAAGAGAAAAAAGAAAGUCAAGAAAAGUAAGCAGGUAAACAAAGUAUUAGAUCGUUCGUCUUAAGUUAUAAAAAACAGAAUUAAAAAUACAGAAAAUUAACAUUAAGGCAGAAGCUAAGAGAAUCUAUAGUUACUAUUCUUAGUUGACAAUAGUUGUAUCCGAACGAGCGACAUUGACAACAAAAUCUUUACAAAGAUAUACACUAUGGAAUUUCAAUGUCAGUACAAAAAGCAUAGUGUCAAAGUCAAUCGACAAGUAUGCUGUCAGUUGUCACCAAUGUCGCAAAUAUUUAAUGUAAACAAAUUUGUAAAUAUAAGGAGUAUAAUGAAAUACUUAUGUACCCUUCAAGUAAAACAAAAGAGAAAAAAAAAGAUUAAAUUUACAACAAGGUAACAAGGUACAGAUUUCUCCUCGGGCAGACCAUGUAGCAACAGCAUCUUGCGUCUCCUUCGCAUCUCAUGGCGGUCAAACUCCCUGUCCAGAAAAUCAACCUGACGUUGCAAUGCACUAAGGGCAGAGAAUACAAAGGAUCUAAAUUUGCAGAAAUCAGAAGUCAGUGAUGUUGUAGAAGCUGGAGAGUUGGAGUUCACUUUCUGUAGGUCUCUCUGGAACUCAUUCAUAGUAUUGAUGAACAUAUCUGACAUAGCAGAGAUAGACUCCUUCACUGAUUCCAUUUUUAGUUGUCUGGUGAUAUGUAUUAGUUCUGAAUUUUACGUUUAAAUCUAGGAAUGAAAUAGCCAGCAGGUAGUAUGAACUGUUACUAUUAAGUCUUCAUAAAAAAACUAGUGAAACUUUUGGAAUAUGAAUUAAAAUUCAAUUAAAAAUAUAGCACUAACAAAAAA